AACUGAGGUUGCAAGUACAAUGAGGGCUGUCUAGAGAAAAGCCUUGAUUUGGAAUCACUUUUGCAUUUGCUUUUUAUUGAAUAUAUCUCAUUUUCCUCUACAGGCUAGGAAUUCUUUGAGAAUUGAUGUCUUCUGUCUUUACAAGUGCCAAUCCUGUACUGUGCUGUGCUCUCAUAGCAGAUUUGAUCCCUGAAGAAUGCCUUUCAUAGGGCUCCAUGUUAGCUGGCUUUCAGUUAAUGGGAGGCACUUAUGAGUCUUUGGUGGAUGGGUAGGAGGGAGAAACCAGAGUAUUUCUUUCCCCCUCGGCUUGGGAGUCUCUGGCAGGGGCACUUCACAGAAAAGCCAGUUCCAGCUCAGAGGUAGAGACUCUAGUAAGUAUUAGAUAUUAUUACAGUAGAAACAGUCUGGGUCACAGAACCUUCCCAGAGCUGAGAGAAAAUUGGUAACAAAUAAAUUUAGGAAUGAGGUUCUGUUAUAAGGGCACCAACCCCAUUCAUGAGGACAGAGCCUUCAUGGUCUAAUCACCUCCCACAUGGGGAUUAGGAUUCAACAUAAGAAUUUUGGGGGAACAAAACAUUCAGACCAUAGCAGCAAUCUUUCACUUUGCUGAUUUUGGUCUGUAUGCUUUUUCUGUAAUAAACUGUAACCAUGAGAAUAACAGUUUUU
rnacentral:lncRNA from 1 species